rnacentral:lncRNA from 1 species
UUUUCUUAGAGACAAAGGCCAUGUAAAGAUCCAUCUCAGCAAGGUACUUUUAUGAGGGCAGGGUUAUAGAAGUGAUAUAGUUUGGGUGUGUCCCCACCCAAAUCUCAUCUUGACUUGUAGCUCCCAUAAUCCUCACAUGUAGUGGGAGGGAAAUAAUUUUACAGAUUUAGAUGGUUUUGGCCUUUUGAUAAUUUUUGUGACUUGCCAUUUUUCUUAAAAAAUUAAAUUGUCAAAAUGGUUACAAGUCUACAAUAAGAUCAUGGAUAU